rnacentral:rRNA from 1 species
GACAGGGGGCUCGAGCGUUAAUCGGAAUCACUGGGCUUAAAGGGCGCGUAGGCGGCUUUGCAAGUGACGGGUGAAAGCCCUCGGCUUAACCGAGGAACUGCCUGUCAGACUGUAAGGCUUGAGACCGGGAGAGGUGAGUGGAAUUCCCAGUGUAGCGGUGAAAUGCGUAGAUAUUGGGAGGAACACCAGUGGCGAAGGCGGCUCACUGGACCGGAACUGACGCUGAGGCGCGAAAGCGUGGGGAGCAAACAGG